AGUUUGAUCCUGGCUACAGAACGAACGCUGGCGGCAGGCCUAACACAUGCAAGUCGAGCGAACCCUUCGGGGUUAGCGGCGGACGGGUUAGUAACGCGUGGGAAUAUACCCUUUGGUACGGAAUAGCCUCGGGAAACUGAGAGUAAUACCGUAUGUGCCCUUCGGGGGAAAGAUUUAUCGCCAAAGGAUUAGCCCGCGUUGGAUUAGAUAGUUGGUGGGGUAAUGGCCUACCAAGUCUACGAUCCAUAGCUGGUUUGAGAGGAUGAUCAGCAACACUGGGACUGAGACACGGCCCAGACUCCUACGGGAGGCAGCAGUGGGGAAUCUUAGACAAUGGGCGCAAGCCUGAUCUAGCCAUGCCGCGUGGACGAUGAAGGCCUUAGGGUUGUAAAGUCCUUUCAGAUGGGAAGAUAAUGACGGUACCAUCAGAAGAAGCCCCGGCUAACUCCGUG
rnacentral:rRNA from 1 species